AUACGGAGGGGGCAAGCGUUAUUCGGAAUUAUUGGGCGUAAAGGGCUCGUAGGCGGCCUAGCAAGUCAGUGGUGAAAUCCCUCGGCUCAACCGAGGAACUGCCUCUGAAACUGCAAGGCUAGAGGCCGGGAGAGGGUGGUGGAAUUCCCAGUGUAGCGGUGAAAUGCGUAGAUAUUGGGAGGAACACCAGUGGCGAAGGCGGCCACCUGGACCGGUUCUGACGCUGAGGAGCGAAAGCGUGGGGAGCAAACAGGAUUAGAAACCCUAGUAGUCC
rnacentral:rRNA from 1 species